UACGGAGGGUGCGAGCGUUGUCCGGAAUCAUUGGGCGUAAAGGGCGCGUAGGUGGCGGCUUAAGCGUGCGGUGAAAGCUCGGGGCUCAACCCCGAGUCGGCCGUGCGAACUGAGUCGCUUGAGCACUGUAGAGGCAGGCGGAAUUCCGGGUGUAGCGGUGGAAUGCGUAGAGAUCCGGAAGAACACCGGUGGCGAAGGCGGCCUGCUGGGCAGUAGCUGACACUGAGGCGCGACAGCGUGGGGAUCAAACAGG
rnacentral:rRNA from 1 species